rnacentral:rRNA from 1 species
CCUGGCUCAGGAUGAACGCUGGCGGCGUGCUUAACACAUGCAAGUCGAGCGAAGCACUUUGGAAAGAUUCUUCGGAUGAUUUCCUUUGUGACUGAGCGGCGGACGGGUGAGUAACGCGUGGGUAACCUGCCUCAUACAGGGGGAUAACAGUUAGAAAUGACUGCUAAUACCGCAUAAGACCACGGUGCCGCAUGGUACAGUGGUAAAAACUCCGGUGGUAWRAGAYGGRCSCGGMGUMUGAYYMGGUAGUUGGUGGKGUAWSGGSSUACCAAGCCRACGAUCAGUAGCCGACCUGAGAGGGUGACCGGCCACAUUGGGAYUGAGACACGGCCCAGACUCCUACGGGAGGCAGCAGUGGGGAAUAUUGCACAAUGGAGGAAACUCUGAUGCAGCGACGCCGCGUGAAGGAUGAAGUAUUUCGGUAUGUAAACUUCUAUCAGCAGGGAAGAAAAUGACGGUACCUGACUAAGAAGCCCCGGCUAACUACGUGCCAGCAGCCGCGGUAAUACGUAGGGGGCAAGCGUUAUCCGGAUUUACUGGGUGUAAAGGGAGCGUAGACGGCACGGCAAGCCAGAUGUGAAAGCCCGGGGCUCAACCCCGGGACUGCUUUUGGAACUGUCAUGCUAGAGUGCAGGAGGGGUGAGCGGAAUUCCUAGUGUAGCGGUGAAAUGCGUAGAUAUUAGGAGGAACACCGGAGGCGAAGGCGGCUCACUGGACUGUAACUGACACUGAGGCUCGAAAGCGUGGGGAGCAAAMMGGAUUAGAUACCCUGGUAGUCCACGCGGUAAACGAUGAAUACUAGAUGUCGGGUAGCAUAGCCAUUCGGUGUCGUCGCAAACGCAAUAAGUAUUCCACCUGGGGAGUACGUUCGCAAGAAUGAAACUCAAAGAAAUUGACGG